GUCAUAGACCCCACGGCUGAAGCCGGGGGCUUGUCCUCCAGGCUUUAGCCGUAGGCCCAAAAAAGGCCUCGCUAUGACCAGCCUCAGAGGCCUGACUCGAAGGACAAGGGGAUGAAGGUCCUACGUUACCGGGGAGAGCCGAAGUUCGCACUCCGGGAUGCUCCUCCAGUCCCGAGACCCUGCA
rnacentral:sRNA from 1 species